GUAGUCAUAUGCUUGUCUCAAAGAUUAAGCCAUGCAUGUCUAAGUAUAAGCACUUUAUACUGUGAAACUGCGAAUGGCUCAUUAAAUCAGUUAUCGUUUAUUUGAUAGUACCUUACUACAUGGAUACCUGUGGUAAUUCUAGAGCUAAUACGUGCUAAAAACCUCGACUUCGGAAGGGGUGUAUUUAUUAGAUAAAAAACCAACGCCCUUCGGGGCUCCUUGGUGAAUCAUAAUAACUAAGCGAAUCGCAUGGCCUUGCGCCGGCGAUGGUUCAUUCAAAUUUCUGCCCUAUCAACUUUCGAUGGUAGGAUAGUGGCCUACCAUGGUGGCAACGGGUAACGGGGAAU
rnacentral:rRNA from 1 species